GAUUGAACGCUGGCGGCAUGCUUUACACAUGCAAGUCGAACGGUAACAGCACUUCGGUGGCUGACGAGUGGCGAACGGGUGAGUAAUACAUCGGAACGUGCCUAGUAGUGGGGGAUAACUACUCGAAAGAGUAGCUAAUACCGCAUGAGAUCUAAGGAUGAAAGCAGGGGACCUUCGGGCCUUGCGCUACUAGAGCGGCUGAUGGCAGAUUAGGUAGUUGGUGGGAUAAAAGCUUACCAAGCCGACGAUCUGUAGCUGGUCUGAGAGGACGACCAGCCACACUGGGACUGAGACACGGCCCAGACUCCUACGGGAGGCAGCAGUGGGGAAUUUUGGACAAUGGGCGCAAGCCUGAUCCAGCAAUGCCGCGUGCAGGAUGAAGGCCUUCGGGUUGUAAACUGCUUUUGUACGGAACGAAAAGCCCUCUUCUAAUACAGGAGGGUCAUGACGGUACCGUAAGAAUAAGCACCGGCUAACUACGUG
rnacentral:rRNA from 1 species